UAAUUUCAUAUAUAUCCUACCCCUUCCAUAGAUAGCUCUUUCUAAAAGUGUCAAUAUCGAAAAUAUUCCUCUAAUUUAGCAAAACUAUUAUAAAUAUCUAAAUUAGCAAUAAUUUAUUAAAAUAUUAAGUACAAUUUUUAUUUUGCCAAUCAUCUAUUAUCUACACCUUUUUAAUUAACUUAAACAUUAUUUUUUUUUGAAAACAUUAUAAAUACAAUGGAAUAUAUACCAAAUUAAAAUAAUUAAUUGUGACGAACUACACUAUUGUAGCCAUGUGGUGUGUCCACAUUGGCGGGUCUUGAUUUACCCGAUCCACUUAAGAUGUGGAUUGUGAUUUAUCCUAAUGGGUUUAGGAUAAGAAUAAAUUAUAUGUUUCUUAUCAGACGAAAUAUCUUUCUUAUUCUCUCUCUUCUUCCUCUAUGGGAUUUCCACCUACGUUUCCGGGAUUUUAGAGUGUGGACAUAGAAGAGGACUCUGGUAGCUCUCUUUGAUUGGCAUCCGUCGCAUCAGAUCCGCAACCGAUCCAUGGCGUAAGGCGUACGCGUGGGAGAAGGCGAGAGACGUGGGAGAUCCAGAAGCAUCAAGACAAGAACGAUCCAAGAAGGUGGGAGAUCCAGAAGCAUCGAGCUAAGAAUGAUCCAAAAAGGCCUGUAAAACAAGCAACCGAUCCGAUUUGGGUUUCCGGAUACGUUGGCUAUCCGGUUAAGUUUCCGCUGUCUAUUAUUUCUAACAACUAUGAAAAUAGUAAUUAAGAAAAAAUAUUAUAUUAAUUUAGACAAAGAAGAAAAUAGAUUCACAAAAAAUAAUAAUAAACUUUUAGUUUUAGUUAAUUGUUUAUUAUGAUUAACAUGAGGCCCAUAUCAUACUGAAUAUAUAUAUAUAUAAAAAAAAAAACUUAAGUACGCAAAAGAUAUAUUUAUAAAUUGAAUCACAAAAUAAAACCGAGUUAUUUUUCGAUGAAAAAUAAAUUUAGUAGCCCUACAUGAUACUACACAAUUAUUUAUAUUUAGAUAUAACUAGUCAAUGCUCAUGCGCUGCACGUAUUAAUUUACAUAUUAAAUUAAAAAUAUAUUAAAUUAUUUUAAUAUUAAAUUAUAAAUUUAUGUAUAUAUAUUAAAUAAUAUUAAAUUUAUAUAAUAAUUAAAUAAAUAGAUUUUUUUCAAAACUAAAUAAAUAGUAUUUUUAGAGUAGAAACCCUUGACUAAUUAAUAAUUAAUAAUUAUAUAAAGUUAUUAAAUUUGAUAUAUUUUUAAUAUAAGUAAAUAU
rnacentral:lncRNA from 1 species